rnacentral:rRNA from 1 species
CGGGACGGGUGAGUAACGCGUGGGUAACCUGCCUUGUACUGGGGGACAACAGUUAGAAAUGACUGCUAAUACCGCAUAAGCGCACAGUAUCGCAUGAUACAGUGUGAAAAACUCCGGUGGUACAAGAUGGAUCCGCGUCUGAUUAGCUAGUUGGUAAGGUAACGGCUUACCAAGGCGACGAUCAGUAGCCGACCUGAGAGGGUGACCGGCCACAUUGGGACUGAGACACGGCCCAA